AAAGGAGUUCUGCUCAGACAAUGAAGGGCAUCUGUAGGGCAUUCUCAGAUAUCUCCUAAACCCCUUAAAACUCUGCAACGACGCGCAAUACUCACCUGACCCUCUAGGCUUUCAGGAGGGAUCAGUUGUCAGACAAAUACUCUGUCAACCUGGAAGACAGUCUUAUAAAGAGUCCUCAUGAGUUCCCCCUUGGUGUAGUCUUCUGCUGGACUCUGAGGAUCAUUGCCUUUCCAGAGCAUAGCUGGGAUUUUCUCCAUCACAAGGGGUCCCAAUCCAUGAAGUUGCCACCAUCCUCAGGAAGGAUUUCCCAAACGUAUACACCUACCUGGGUGCUCCCCUCUUGGAAUACUCAUUCAUCUAAAAUCAGGAAAGAACAAAUGCAAAAGAAAGAGAGAUGUCAUAUACUUAUGCACAAGGAGCCUCAAUCAGGGUAGCCCUUUCUCACUCA